UACGAGAGGCCCAACCGUUAUUCGGAUUUACUGGGCUUAAAGAGUUCGUAGGCGGUCUGGUAAGUGGGGUGUGAAAGCCCUCGGCUCAACCGAGGAAUUGCGCUCCAAACUGCCAGGCUCGAGGGAGAUAGAGGUGAGCGGAACUGAUGGUGGAGCGGUGAAAUGCGUUGAUAUCAUCAGGAACACCAGAGGCGAAGGCGGCUCACUGGGUCUCUUCUGACGCUGAGGAACGAAAGCUAGGGGAGCAAACGGG
rnacentral:rRNA from 1 species